CAAUGACGCAUCAUUUGUUCUCAUUAUCUUUAGUUUCAUCUGUAAAACCAGCAGAGAUCAGACAGUCUGACAGAAAACAGAAUUUUAGUCAGGACUAAAAACUAUC